GUCCCCUAUAGAGAAUUUGCUGUGCUCUUCCUCCUGCUCCCCAGGAUUGAUGGAGCCAGAAACCUCCUGCAGGGGCCCCCAGAGGUUCUUGCAUCCAGUGUGGCAUCCAGACAGUGUGUGGUUAAUGAGUCCGAAGAAAGGACCAGCGUCGGUGAGCUUUGGGUGUCUGUUUUGGAGGGUGAAGGAGGAUGGUCUGCAGCGGGUCAUGGUGGGUGGUCUGUCCAGAUGUGGAUCCCUGUUAACAUCCUAGUUCCUGUUCUUCAGGAUUUACCAACAAACCAACAAAUUGGUCCCCACAGGACAUGCCUGGCGGAGGGGGGUGCCCCCAACCCUAUGAAGUGUGUCCAGAAUCCUUGUUAUCUGCCUCCCUUUCCUGGAUUGUAACCCCCACUUCCAUUCUGGCCUUCUUUUUCCAACAGGGAGUAGCCGAGGAGCCCUAGGAAGGCAUCUCUGACCCCACAUCUCCCCAGCACCCUGAAAAAGUCCCUGAUGUGGAUGUUCUAGACUCCAGAUUAAGCCUCCCCCUCUUGCAGAGCCCAGCAUAAAAUGCAAAUUCUCCUGGGAGGGGCAACACUUUGAAUCUGUGCUGUCUUCUAGUGGAGGAGUCCGGCAGCCCUGCAGGAGCACCUGGAGCACCUGGCUGUGGAGGGGCUUCUGGAAGGAAGCACAGGAGCAGAGGAAGGAGAAGGAGUUCAAAUGCCCGUACCUCCCGGGAGUUCCCAUCGUGGCGCAGUGGAAACGAAUCCAACUAGGAACCAUAAAGUUGCAGGUUCAUCAUUUUCUGGGACCAGAGUCCAGUCUCCUGAAUUCUAGCUCUUCUUGGGAACAGCAGGUAGAAGGAGUGAAUCCUACAGGACUCCCAGGACAGCCCUUCUGCUCUUUCAGGGCAGUCACCUUGUCCACACCCCACCUUAUCAUCUUGGGGCUACACCUGCCAGGCCUCCUUACGCUGCCGCUUUAGAGUCCCCACACAACCUCAGCUCUGACAAGAAUUGAUUACGCUUCCGGUCUGAUGGCAGCGCCCCUGGUUUCCAGGGAGUUCCGAGUCUGGGAGAUAGUCUUCUGACAACCAAAACAAUGAAUAGCAAAAUUGCACGGGCAUUUGGGACUGUUGGAUGUCCAGCUGGCACACUUGCUGGUCUAGAAAUGUCCUCAGAGGUGAGUGGGUUUAGUCAAGCCGACCAGAGAGAAGAAUUUUUUAAUUCUAAAACAGCUGUCCUUAUAAAAUAAAAAUAAAUAAAAUAAAACA
ensembl:lncRNA